CUUGACAUGUGCGUGAAAACCGUGGAAACAUGGUCCUCCUUCGGGACGCGUGCACAGGUUGGUGCAUUGGCUGUCGUCAGCUCGUGUCGUGAGAUGUUGGUUAAGUCCCGCAACGAGCGCAACCCUUAUCGCAUGUUGCCAGCGGGUCAUGCCGGGAACUCAUGCGAGACUGUCGGUGUCAAACCGGAGGAAGGUGGGAUGACGUCAAGUCAUCAUGCCCCUUAUGCCCUGGGCUGCACACGUGCUACAAUGGCCGGUACAGAGGGCUGCGAUACCGCGAGGUGGAGCGAAUCCCAGAAAGCCGGUCUAAGUUCGGAUUGGAGGCUGCAACUCGCCUUCAUGAAGUCGGAGUCGCUAGUAAUCGCGAAUCAGCAAUGUCGCGGUGAAUACGUUCCCGGGCCUU
rnacentral:rRNA from 1 species